UUUUCCUGUCAAUUGUGUGAUGAUCUUUCAGAGAACAAAUUACUCUAUAGAAGGCUGGCCUUAUUCGUAUAUUUGGCGGUCAGAAUAAUUCAUGAAACAGAGAACAAAGUGCAUGCAGCCUCGCAUGCGACAUAUCUUCCCACUCAGAUCGGGCCAUUGGCAGCAACUGACCCCUCUAUCGUCAUUUGACUUUGUACAUUCCACUGAGCUACACAAUAUCUGAAACAUACCAACCCAAACCAAAGAUAUAUCUUUUGACAUCGCAAACCAUAGUGUGAAUGAUAUCAACAAGACGAGAGGUUGAAAGGGCUUGCAUCAUCUAGUAAUGAUCAAACGAACAACGCUAAGAGCAUCACAUAGACAACAAUGUCAAUGACUACCAAAAAGUACCAACUUGCUUCAAGCAUGUGUUAGUUUAAGCUGCGCAAGAGGCAGUCAUGCCAUGUUGAGGCUCAAGCAUCGAGAGAACCAAGGAGGCUGCUUUAUCCCAUCCUCCCUCAUUCGUUCCUCGAUCCCAUGUUGGAAUCUCAUAUCCCGGACCGGACACUGCCCAGAUCCGUUGCUGCUUCGUUUGGUACCACCAGACUGCGUCGAGGAUGAAGAAAAGCUUGAUCCAGAAUCUGAAGUCGAUGAUGUCUCUUUCCUUUUUCCUCGGGCGCUGCUUCCAGUUGCAAGCGUCAGCUCCAAGUCGCUCUCUCGGUAAGCCUCCACCGUCGUACUCACGUUUCUAUCUUUCUUCCCACUGAAUUCCCCUGCCGGCAGCUUCAGAUCAGGUGUCCGGUUAUGCGCAUCCGUCUUGUUGGUGUUGUUCAUCUCCCUCAUCAGCAGCUGCUGAACAUGGUACAAAUGGUGGAGUUCAUGCACCUGGACCGGGCAGCGGAAAAAAACUCAGAAUCUCCAGUAACUUCAUCCUGAUUCGACGGAGUUGUAAGCAGAAGAAGAAGAAGGUACCUGUUGUCUGAAGGUGGCUUCCUGCUUCAUGAUGGCCAUCUUCAAGUACUCUUUGUCAUACUGAUUCAUGUAUCUCCCCAUUGGCCCUCUGCGGUGUGUUGUUGUGGGAUGAAUGAUCUGUUGAAGUUAAACUCACUGUCAAUUACGAUGGAGGCUUAAUAAACAAGGAAACUGCUUUGAUCUUAUA